rnacentral:lncRNA from 1 species
GAGCCCAGUCAAUGUCACAGUGCAGGGUGCUUCAUGCAGGAAGCUCAUGGAACAAGGCAUUAAAAUGUAAGUGUGUUUGGGCACAGAAGAAUUUUGAAAUCCAUGCAUAUGAGGGAUCUUUAGAAAGUUCAUGGAAAACAUUUAUUGUGAAAAAAUCCUGCAUGGAUUUCAAAAUGUUUUGGCAUGGAGCCAGUGCUGUGGUGUGGCAGGUGAAGCCACCACCUGUGGUGCAGGCAUCCCAUAUGGGUACCAGUUCAAGUCCUGGCUGCCCCUCUUCCAAUCCAGCUCUCUGCUAUGGCCUGAGAAAGCAGUGGAUGAUGGCCCAAGCCCUUGGGCCCCUGCACCCGUGUGGGAGACCUGGAAGAAGCUCCUGGCUCCUGGCCUCAGAUCGGCACAGCUCUGGCCAUUACAGCUAUUUGGGAAGUGAACCAGCAGAUGUAAGACCUCUCUCUCUCUCUCUCUCUCUCUCUCUCUCUGUUUGUAACUCUGCCUUUCAAAUAAAUCUUCAAAAAUGUUUUUGCACCACAAUUAACUUGUCUUUUAACUUGAUUUUCCACUAG